rnacentral:rRNA from 1 species
AUACGGAGGAUGCGAGCGUUAUCCGGAUUUAUUGGGUUUAAAGGGAGCGUAGGUGGGAUAUUAAGUCAGCUGUGAAAGUUUGGGGCUCAACCUUAAAAUUGCAGUUGAUACUGGUUUCCUUGAGUACGGUACAGGUGUGCGGAAUUCGUGGUGUAGCGGUGAAAUGCUUAGAUAUCACGAAGAACUCCGAUCGCGAAGGCAGCUCACCGGGCCGGAACUGACACUGAUGCUCGAAAGUGCGGGUAUCAAACAGGAUUAGAUACCCUGGUAGUCCGCACAGUAAACGAUGAAUACUCGCUGUUUGCGAUACACUGUAAGCGGCCAAGCGAAAGCGUUAAGUAUUCCACCUGGGGAGUACGCCGGCAACGGUGAAACUCAAAGGAAUUGACGGGG